rnacentral:rRNA from 1 species
ACGCUCGACACCUACGGGAGGCAGCAGUGGGGAAUAUUGCACAAUGGGGGAAACCCUGAUGCAGCGACGCCGCGUGGAGGAAGAAGGUCUUCGGAUUGUAAACUCCUGUUGUUGGGGAAAAANGGAUGGUACCCAACAAGGAAGUGACGGCUAACUACGUGUCAGCAGCCGCGGUAAUCUGAGCGGGCUGGCAAGGC